rnacentral:lncRNA from 1 species
CAAGGACACUGACUAGGGGACCUGAUCUUUUCCUCUAGUCAAGAAGGCAGAAUGAUGACCAAAUUGUCUCCUUUCUGCUGUGUAGAGGAGCUCACUAAAGCUGGGGACACAUAGAAAUGUCAGAUCUAUAGUACUUAGACCAGAGGAUCUCCCAGCUAAGCACUCAGGAUCUCUUUUCUCGUUAGGAGUCUUCUACCUGUUUUGCUCACUUCUCUAUUCUGAUGUUGCAGCUGUUCCCUGAAGAGGGACCUCUGCAGUUUUCCUGAGGCUAAAGAUGUGACUUCACUAGUGCUUUCUCUCUCUUUCCUUCCAGGGCCACAUCCUCCAGGAAGAUCUCUGUCACGUGGAAGCCCCUGGCCUGGCCUCCCGCAGUGCCACGCUCCGUGUAUUUGACAAGCUGAGUUGGACACUCCGUGUGGUAGAGUGUCAGUUUGUCAAAUACCCCAAGUGUGGCACAUGCUUAGCAGCUCCACACCAGGGCAGAUGGAAUACAACAUAUUUGCUGCCAAGUGGAUGUAAGAAUGCUCAUUAAACAACAAGGUCUCCUAAUUUAUUUUUUUGUAACUUUGAGGGAACCCAAGCAAUGCAUCUGAGGGUUUCAGGGGGAAAGUGCAGCAUCUCUGGUAAUUACAGCCCUGGUUUUCGUCUACACACCUCAUGAGAAUGCCUAGGAGCACACAAUAGUCUUGAAAAGACAUAAGGGAUACAGGGAUAGAUGUGCUCUUUGAUUUGUUAUUCUCUUCUUUCUUCACAUUCCCCUUCCAGAGUGUCACAGUCAGGACACCAGAAUCAAAUACUACAGGUUAUAUGAGAAAGCUGGGCAUGGAAAUCCACUCUUUUUAUGUUCAUUCUUGUCUUCUAAACACAGACUGGCUUUUCUACCUCUUCCUUUUUUCCUCAAACCUCUUCUUGAAACAACUUCUCCAUUUCUCUUGGCCUAAUUCUUUCCCAUACUUCCUGGCCCCACCACAGUAUAGUCUCCCCAGGGACUUUUGAAAGUCAUCCCAUGCUUACCCUUCUUCGCUUGCACAGCACUCCUUGCCUGAGUCCUGUUAUAUGCCCCAAUAUCUCAUUCCACCCAAUAUAAUCUUUUGGAUCAUGAGUAAACUUUUCCAAGGCUUACUCUUGAAUUCCCCACUAUAUUUUGAGCUUCUAGAAGACAAGAAUAUAUCUCCUUGGUUGUUGUCUCCCCUACCAUAACCCCAUAUUUUGGUUACGGAAAAUAUUCAAUAAAUGUUUGCUGAUUGAUUGACUUUUUACUUAGUUGAUUAGUUUUGGAUAUUUGUGCCAAGUGUCACCCAGGGUUCUAUGAAAAAAACAAACAAACUAUGGAAACCACAAUUUUAUACAGUAUAUGAGGGAAUAGCCAACAUGGAGAGCUUUUUCUUCCUGAGAAAUGAAGCCAAAGACUGGAGGAAGGGGGAAAACAAAAGGGCAAAUAAAUUGUAGAAUUACUUGAAUAUACAGAUAUGUGGUACUUUAUUGAAGGAUUUUUAAGAGUCCUUAAUAUUCUAAUUUUGCUUUGGGAAUCUCCAAGACAGAGAUAUGGAAUGAGGGCUGGGGAUAUAGCUCAGUUGGUAGAGUGCUUGCCUUGCAUGCAUAAGGCCCUGGGUUCAAUUCCCAGCACCGAGAGAGAGAGAGAGAGAGAGAGAGAGAGAGAGAGAGAGAGAAUGAAGCCUUCCCUAUGCCUACCUAUCCACUGAAAUUUUCUUGUUUAUUUUUUUUUUUUGGUGGUCUUGGGGAUUAAACCUAGGGUUUCAUAUAUACUAGGCAAACAUAGGCAAAUAUCCUGCUACUGAGCUACAUCCCCAGUCUUCUUCUUCUUCUUCUUCUUAUUAUUAUUAUUAUUAUUAUCAUUAUCAUUAUUUUAAAUAUUGAGACAAGAUCUCACUGAGUUGCUGAGAUUGGCCUAGAACUUGUGAUCCUCCUGCCUCAGCCCCCCAAGUAGCUGGGGUUACAGGUAUUUGCCACCAAACCCAGUUGUCCAGGGGAACUUUUAUUCCCCAUGGGAUAUCUCAUGAUAUUCCAUGAUAUUCUCCUGAUACUUCAUGUAACAAAAAUUGAGGGGGCUGGGGUUAUGGCUCAGUGUUAGUGUGCUUGCCUAGCAUACAUGAGGCACUGGGUUUGAUUCUCAGCACCACAUACAAAUAUAAAAUAAAGGUCCAUAAACAACUAAAAAAAAAUUUAAAAAUUGAGAAACUUCCCUAGACAAACUUCAUACCUUCCUUCCCUUCUAGAGAGCCUUCUUUUCACUCUUCUACUUUCCCUGACCAGACAGCUACCUAAGAUAGAUCCCAUAUUGUAAU